rnacentral:misc_RNA from 1 species
UUAAGUUCAGCGGGUAUCCCCGCCUGAUCCGAGGCCAAACUCGAUUGGGCUGUCGGCUCCUGCGUUACCAGAAGCCAAGAGGCUGCCCUCCGUCCGGAGCCAACUCAGCGAUGACUUGCGUCUUGCUACGCUCGUGGUCCGUCGGCGGCGCCAACGCGUUCCAGACCCGUCUCGUCACAGACGUCGUCCAACAUCAAGCA